GGAAAGAGAUGACGCGAGGAAAACAAAAGAUCGAAGCGCAGAGGCGAAACGCUGAGAAGAAUCAAAAGCCAAAGGGUUCUCAGCUGGAGGCCAGAGCUGUAGCCCUCAAAGUCAGCUGCCCUAUCUGCAAGAGUUUGUAGACCGGAAGCCCUAAUGGGCAGGGAUGAGAUCUGCAAAUUUUGUAGACCAGAAGCCCUAAUGGGUAGGAAAGAGAUCUGCAAGUGCAAUUAGCAAAUGAAAAACAACUUGGUGAUCAUUAUGGCUCUAAACAUCCAAAGGAAAACCCUCCUGCUGUGUCAAGUUGAUUGCUUUCUUCGCAUGUAAAAGAAGGAAAAGAACAAAUUAUCUUUUCCUGUGUGAUUCUAGAUAUUGUAUGUUAACCGUCUUUAAAAAAAUAAUAAUUUAAACCAAUGAAAAUGACUCUUUUAUCUA